UUUUCCCUGGGUUUUGAAUUUGCAGUAACAGGUGUGAACAUUCUAGCAGCAGUUUGAUGAUCAUGUAUGAUACUGCAAACAGGA
ensembl:miRNA